UACGUAGGGGGCUAGCGUUGUCCGGAAUCAUUGGGCGUAAAGCGCGUGUAGGCGGCCCGGUAAGUCCGCUGUGAAAGUCGGGGGCUCAACCCUCGGAUGCCGGUGGAUACUGUCGGGCUCGAGUACGGAAGAGGCGAGUGGAAUUCCUGGUGUAGCGGUGAAAUGCGCAGAUAUCAGGAGGAACACCGAUUGCGAAGGCAGCUCGCUGGGACGUGACUGACGCUGAGACGCGAAAGCGUGGGGAGCAAACAGGAUUAGAAACCC
rnacentral:rRNA from 1 species